UACGGAGGGGGCUAGCGUUGUUCGGAAUGACUGGGCGUAAAGCGCGCGUAGGCGGAUCAGAAAGUUGGGGGUGAAAUCCCGGGGCUCAACCUCGGAAUGGCCUUCAAAACUCCUGGUCUUGAGUUCGAGAGAGGUGAGUGGAAUUCCGAGUGUAGAGGUGAAAUUCGUAGAUAUUCGGAGGAACACCAGUGGCGAAGGCGGCUCACUGGCUCGACACUGACGCUCAUGCACGAAAGCGUGGGGAGCAAACAGG
rnacentral:rRNA from 1 species